rnacentral:rRNA from 1 species
GGGCCCGCACAAGCGGUGGAGCAUGUGGUUUAAUUCGAUGAUACGCGAGGAACCUUACCAGGGCUUAAAUGUGGUUUGACAGCUUUAGAGAUAGAGUUUUUCUUCGGACAAAUCACAAGGUGCUGCAUGGUUGUCGUCAGCUCGUGCCGUGAGGUGUCAGGUUAAGUCCUAUAACGAGCGCAACCCCCUGUUGUUAGUUGCCAGCGAGUAAUGUCGGGAACUCUAGCAAGACUGCCGGUGCAAACCGUGAGGAAGGUGGGGAUGACGUCAAAUCAUCACGGCCCUUACGUCCUGGGCUACACACGUGCUACAAUGGUAGGGACAGAGAGCAGCCAUUUCGCGAGAAAGAGC